AGGACGAACGCUGGCGGCACGCUUAACACAUGCAAGUCGAACGUGAAGCUCGGAGCUUGCUCCGGGUGGAAAGUGGCGAACGGGUGAGUAACACGUGAGGAACCUGCCCCGAAGACUGGGAUAACACCGGGAAACCGGUGCUAAUACUGGAUGCCUUCUCCGGAUCGCAUGAUCUGGCGAAGAAAUGGAUUCCGCUUCGGGAUGGCCUCGCGGCCUAUCAGCUUGUUGGUGGGUAACGGCCUACCAAGGCAACGACGGGUAGCUGGUCUGAGAGGAUGUCCAGCCACACUGGGACUGAGACACGGCCCAGA
rnacentral:rRNA from 1 species